rnacentral:rRNA from 1 species
AUGGAUGAGGUCACACAAGCCAUUGAAAACCUGAGAAAGGAAUGGAGCCAAGUAGUUGCACAGCUUGAGGUGUGCAUUGCUGCUAUUGAAUCAUGUGGGAAGCUGGGCAAAGGGACAGAAGAAGCGAGCUCUCUUCCUAGAUUGAACAGUACUGCACAGGAUGCACUGCAAUUGCUCAAUUCACUGCAGUGCAGGCUUGAUCUUCUGGCAGAGCAGCUACCCACUUUUGAAGAAGUUCACUCUGGCCAGGCAACAUUAGGGCUGCGCGUGAGCCUGAGUGCUAACUUGCAAGCAAAAGUGAACAUUGGAAAAGCUGCUCAAGAAGAGAGGGAGCUUCUUCUGGGAGGCGGAGAAGAGUCCACUAUUCGGAGACGUAAUCUCCAACAAGUAACAAGAAUAGUGUCUGGGUUGGUGCCAGUUUCUGACUAUAUCUGUUCCAGGAUCAUCCUGACUAUCGGACGGAUUGGCCUGUUGACACUGCAAAGGAAGCUGGCUGAUGCUAUCAGAUCAGGCUCAGUAUCAGCUGGAGACAUGUUGGGUAAAGUGCAGGAGGGACCUGCCCCAACAACAAAUGCUCCUCCCAUGUAUGAUGAACUGUGA